rnacentral:rRNA from 1 species
GAUGGUUGUUUGAACCGCAUGGUUCAAACAUAAAAGGUGGCUUCGGCUACCACUUACAGAUGGACCCGCGGCGCAUUAGCUAGUUGGUGAGGUAACGGCUCACCAAGGCAACGAUGCGUAGCCGACCUGAGAGGGUGAUCGGCCACACUGGGACUGAGACACGGCCCAGACUCCUACGGGAGGCAGCAGUAGGGAAUCUUCCGCAAUGGACGAAAGUCUGACGGAGCAACGCCGCGUGAGUGAUGAAGGUUUUCGGAUCGUAAAGCUCUGUUGUUAGGGAAGAACAAGUACCGUUCGAAUAGGGCGGUACCUUGACGGUACCUAACCAGAAAGCCACGGCUAACUACGUGCCAGCAGCCGCGGUAAUACGUAGGUGGCAGCGUUGUCCGGAAUUAUUGGGCGUAAAGGGCUCGCAGGCGGUUUCUUAAGUCUGAUGUGAAAGCCCCCGGCUCAACCGGGGAGGGUCAUUGGAAACUGGGGAACUUGAGUGCAGAAGAGGAGAGUGGAAUUCCACGUGUAGCGGUGAAAUGCGUAGAGAUGUGGAGGAACACCAGUGGCGAAGGCGACUCUCUGGUCUGUAACUGACGCUGAGGAGCGAAAGCGUGGGGAGCGAACAGGAUUAGAUACCCUGGUAGUCCACGCCGUAAACGAUGAGUGCUAAGUGUUAGGGGGUUUCCGCCCCUUAGUGCUGCAGCUAACGCAUUAAGCACUCCGCCUGGGGAGUACGGUCGCAAGACUGAAACUCAAAGGAAUUGACGGGGGCCCGCACAAGCGGUGGAGCAUGUGGUUUAAUUCGAAGCAACGCGAAGAACCUUACCAGGUCUUGACAUCCUCUGACAAUCCUAGAGAUAGGACGUCCCCUUCGGGGGCAGAGUGACAGGUGGUGCAUGGUUGUCGUCAGCUCGUGUCGUGAGAUGUUGGGUUAAGUCCCGCAACGAGCGCAACCCUUGAUCUUAGUUGCCAGCAUUCAGUUGGGCACUCUAAGGUGACUGCCGGUGACAAACCGGAGGAAGGUGGGGAUGACGUCAAAUCAUCAUGCCCCUUAUGACCUGGGCUACACACGUGCUACAAUGGACAGAACAAAGGGCAGCGAAACCGCGAGGUUAAGCCAAU